CGCGCAGGCGCCGCCGCCGUCGCUUCCGGCAGCGCUGCCCUGGAUGGCGGAGCCCGGGGCUGGAGCGGCGGCGGAGCCCGGGGAGGGAUGGACGGAGGAGCCCGGGGAGGGAUGGACGGAGGAGCCGGAGGAGCCGAGGGGCAGAUGGACGGCGGAGCGGCGGCGGCUGUGGGUGCCGGGCGGGCUCUGGCUGGCGGCCGUGCUGCCCCUGCUCCUGGUCCCGCUGCCCUGCGCAGGCCAGAGCCGCCUGCCGAGCCCGGGCCGGCCGCGGGUGCGCGCCGUCAACACCAACUUCUCCCUGCGCUGGGACUACGCGGGCGGCGGGCGCGGCGUCGCCUUCUCGGCGCAGUUCCAGUGGCCGGAGCAGAAGGACACGGGCUGGCGGGAGCUGCCGGGGUGCCAGGCUGUGGCUGGCACGGGCUGUGACAUCUCCUCGGCCAUCUCCGAGUACUACGAUGCCCACUACGUGCGCGUGAGGGCCCAGGCAGGGCCCCUGGUGUCCCCGUGGUCCGAGGUGCUGGAGAUGGUGCCGGAGCACGUCGCUCAGAUUGGUCCACCGGGACUGGAAUUGCAGUCCACAAAUGGAGUCAUAAAAGUUAGGGUUUCUCCUCCAGAAGCAAAUCAGAGCAAAAAAAUGUGGAUCAAUGAUCUGAGUUUUAAAUAUAACCUGGUCUUCUGGGAAAACUCAUCUCAUGCUCAGCUCCAGAGUAAAACCAUUUUCCCUGUUGACACCAUUCAUGACCUUGCCCCAGACAGCACCUAUUGCUUCAAAGUCCAAGCAAAUCUCCCCAGGGAGGGAAAGGAAGGCUUGUUCAGCCCCAUCAGCUGUGUGAAAACCACCCAGAAAGUGAACGACCUCCUGUGUGCAACCAACCUGAGUGUCCUGGCUUUGAACAUGAAAUUCCACCUGCUUUGGGAUGCCCAGGAAAACCAGGAUGUGAGCUACAGCGUGCAGUACCUCCUUGGGUUCUGGAAGAAGCUCAAUGAUGAUUACUCAGACAAGUGGCUCAGUGUCCCCACGUGUGAGAACAUCAUCAGCACCUGGUGCAACUUCUCCUCCAUCAUCAGCCCCUCUGGAUUUUAUUACCUGCGAGUGCAGGCCAGGGAGGGACACAACAAAUCCUGCUUCUCCAGGGAAGUCAAAGUGGAUCCUCUGAAAACAAAUGGAAUUGGCCCUCCUGGUGUAAGGCUGGACCUCAGUGACACUUUGCUCCACAUCGUUAUUUCUCCUCCAGGAGGAGCUGAGGAGGAAGUCAUGAGGGACCAUUAUGAUUUGUCCUACAGGAUCCUGUACUGGAAGAAUUCCUCAGAUAUGAAGGAGGAGGUGAAGCAGAAGGAGGUGAAGCAGACCAUAGCCACAGUCCCUGAUGUGUCCCCCUCCACCCUGUACUGUGUCAAAGUCCAGGCCUUCUCUGAGCCCUACAACAAAAGCAGUGCCUACAGCCAGCAGGAAUGCAUCCACACCCCUGCAGGUACACCUUUACCUCUGAUCUAUUUUGGGAUUUUCAUGGGUGCCCUGCUGCUUGUCCUGCUGGUGGCCACUCCUCUUAUUUUUGUGUUCUACCAAGCCUACAGCAAAAUCAAAUAUGUGUUCUUCCCCACCUGCCAGCCCCCCCUGAACAUCGAGGGAUUUGGAGCACAGCCCUUCAGCAGCCCUUACCUGUCAGCUGCAGAGGAAUCUGUGGAAAAUUGCUGUGUGAUUGAAUCCAUGGUCACAGAAGAGGGAAAUCAGAUUGUUUUCACAGACUACAAACAUUCCAAACAGAGCAGUCGAGACUCAGGGAAUUAUUCCAACGACGACAACACUUCCGGGAGCAAAGGAUCCAAAGAAACCCUGGAAAAGGAAAUGGUGUAACUUUGGGAAAUCAGAAUUCCUUUAUGGGAUUGUCAGCUUCACGAACACUUCAAACUUCUUUGUGAUGGAAAUCCCAGCCUGAGGGGGACAGCUGUGACCUUUGGGAUCCUCAGGUGGACACUGUGACCUUUGGGAUCCUCUGGGGGACACUGUGACCUUUGGGAUUGUGAGGGGACACUGUGACCUUUGGGAUUGCUGGGUUUGGGUUCCCAGAGCUGCCCUGGCUGGGGGAGCUCCUCAGCCCUGGCUGGAAAUGACCCUGAUGUCCCCUUCCCACCCAGGGCUGUCCCUCUGCACCGGGAGCAGCUUUGGGCACUUCUUACUUGAAGCUGUGAGCUGAGCAAAACCUGCCUGCUCCAGCAGAGUUCCAUGUGGAGUUACUCCAGUGUUUACACAGCUAAAGGCAAUCCAUGCUGGACACAAACCUGUGGAAUUUUCACUUGCUCUUCCAGCCCCUGGGCAGGGCUUGGCUCACCAGGUCCAGAGCUAAAGGUGAUAGGAGAGGUUUCCUCACAGGGGUUUCCUCACAGGGAUUCCUCACAGGGUUCCUCACAGGAUUCCUCACAGGGAUUCCUCACAGGGAUUCCUCACAGGGAUUCCUCACAGGGAUUCCUCACAGGGUUCCUCACAGGAUUCCUCACCGGGAUUCCUCACAGGGUUCCUCACAGGGUUCCUCACAGGGUUCCUCACAGGGUUCCUCACAGGAUUCCUCAGGAGGUUCCUCACAGGGAUUCAUCACAGGGUUCCUCAGGAGGUUCCUCAAAGGAUUCCUCACAGGGAUUCCUCACAGGAUUCCUCAGGAGGUUCCUCACAGGGAUUCCUCACAGGGAUUCCUCAGGAGUUUCCUCACAGGGAUUCCUCACCGGGUUCCUCACAGGGUUCCUCACAGGGUUCCUCAGGAGGUUCCUCACAGGGAUUCCUCACCGGGUUCCUCACAGGAUUCCUCACAGGGAUUCCUCACAGGGUUCCUCACAGGGAUUCCUUAUGGGGUUCCUCACAGGGAUUCCACACAGGAUUCCUCAUGGAUUUGGCUGGGAAUGUUCCCAGUGCUUGUUCCAUGUCUCACUCCUGUCCCUGGCAGUGCCCAAGGCCAGGUUGGACACUGGGGCUGGAGCAGCCUGGGGCAGUGGGAGGUGUCCCUGCCAUGGCAGGGUGGCACUGGGUGGGAUUUCGGGUCUCUCCAAACUCAUUCUGGAAUUAGCAGGACCCCGGUGGAAUUUAGGAAAUGCCUUUAGCAGGGGGCUGAGCUUGGCACUCAGAGCUUUCCUUCUUUUGCCAACAGACUUUUCUUUGGACAAACAAUCAGGAUGUGCUGCAGUAAAAUUUCAGUAUUCGUAUUCCAUUUUUCCAUGCUGACUCCACUGUCUUCUGGAGCCUUUUUUUUUAAGUACCUUAUUUUUUUAUGAAGAAACUGCUUUGGAGUCAGCUGAGUUUGAGCAUCCCAUGGGCUGCUGUUGUUCUAUCUAGGAACUCUUGGUGGUUAUGUAACUUUUUUUUUUUUUUUUAAAUUUUGAAGGUAUUACCUAAUUUUAUAAAUUUCCUAUCCCUGUGUUCAUUGAAGAACAUAAUAAAUUUUGCACAUUUGCUUCUUA